rnacentral:rRNA from 1 species
AUACGGAGGGUGCAAGCGUUGUUCGGAAUCACUGGGCGUAAAGGGCGCGCAGGCGGUUUGGUAAGUCAGAUGUGAAAGCCCACGGCUCAACCGUGGAAGUGCAUUUGAAACUGUCAGACUUGAGUACUGGAGGGGAAAGUGGAAUUCCCGGUGUAGAGGUGAAAUUCGUAGAUAUCGGGAGGAAUACCGGUGGCGAAGGCGACUUUCUGGCUAGAUACUGACGCUGAGGCGCGAAAGCGUGGGGAGCAAACAGAAUUAGAAACCCCAGUAGUCC